GACAGAGGUCUCAAGCGUUGUUCGGAUUCAUUGGGCGUAAAGGGUGCGUAGGUGGCGCGGUAAGUCGGGUGUGAAAUUUCGGAGCUUAACUCCGAAACUGCAUUCGAUACUGCCGUGCUUGAGGACUGGAGAGGAGACUGGAAUUUACGGUGUAGCAGUGAAAUGCGUAGAGAUCGUAAGGAAGACCAGUGGCGAAGGCGGGUCUCUGGACAGUUCCUGACACUGAGGCACGAAGGCCAGGGGAGCAAACGGG
rnacentral:rRNA from 1 species